AUACGGGAGGCAGCAGUGGGGAAUCUUGCGCAAUGGGCGAAAGCCUGACGCAGCGACGCUGCGUGGGGGAAGAAGGCUUUCGGGUUGUAAACCCCUUUCAGGAAGGACGAAGCCACUCGGGUGAAUAGCCCAGAGGGUGACGGUACUUCCAGAAGAAGCCCCGGCUAACUACGUGCCAGCAGCCGCGGUAAUACGUAGGGGGCAAGCGUUGUCCGGAUUUAUCGGGCGUAAAGAGCGUGUAGGCGGUUUGGUAGGUCCGCUGUGAAAACUCGAGGCUCAACCUCGAGACGCCGGUGGAAACCAUCAGGCUAGAGUCCGGAAGAGGAGAGUGGAAUUCCUGGUGUAGCGGUGAAAUGCGCAGAUAUCAGGAAGAACACCCGUGGCUAAGGCGGCUCUCUAGUACGGUACUGACGCUGAGACGCGAAAGCGUGGGGAGCGAACAGGAUUAGAUACCCCGGUAGA
rnacentral:rRNA from 1 species